AGCUCAAAUUUGAAAUCUGGCUCUCGGGCCCGAGUUGUAAUUUGUAGAGGAUACUUUUGAUGCGGUGCCUUCCGAGUUCCCUGGAACGGGACGCCAUAGAGGGUGAGAGCCCCGUACGGUUGGAUGCCUAGCCUCUGUGAAACUCCUUC
rnacentral:rRNA from 1 species